UCUCUCUCUCUCUCUCUCUCUCUCUCUCUCUCUCUCUCUCUCUCUCUCUCUCUCUCAAAAACAAUGGGAGAAAUUAGAAACAAAGAGGGAAACGCAUGCCGCGCCAAAACACUCGGCCGGCUCCUGCCAUCCCAGACUCGACAAACGCAGCCUUUGCUCCGUCACGGUGUUUACGAUUAAUUUAAUAUUCCCGUCUGGAGUUGUUCUGCAGUUGUCUGGAGUUCCCGCCCUUCCCCGCCUCGGCGGUGCUGGGGAGCGUCAGGGAGCCCAAGGUCUCCCUGGCGAGCGUCGCAGGGCUCAGGGGUUCCGGCAGGGCGUCUUGGCUCCCUCGGGGCGUCCAUGGCGGUGCCGUAGAUCUCGAGUGUCCAGGGGCGGGGGGAGGGGAGGGUGUUUGGUGUUGUGUGUUGGUAUGGGCGGGUCUUUUCUGGGGUGAAGGAGACUCAUUCGUAUCAGCACACGGCACCAAGGAAAGGCGAUUACAGAACAACUCCAUGACAGGGAUAUUACCGGUGAAAAACACCGAAAAUAAGGAAAAUAAACUAAAAGAACAUCAGAAAUAGGAUAAUACCGGAGAGGAAUUCCAGGAAAUAGACAAGAUAGAAGCACAGAUGAGAAAAGAAGAAAAUAAAACAAAAACACACAAAAAUCCAGCACGAAGGCCUUUGGUGUAGUAUGUUGGUAUGGGUGAGCCUUCUCAGGGGUGAAGGAGACUCCCCUGUAGCAAGAUACGGCACCAGGUAGAGGCGAUGUAGAUACUCUACACAACACUGUCACACGACAAUUAAAGAAAAAUAACACCGGAGACAGGAUGAUACAGAAAAAGAAUACCAGGAAAAAGAAAUCAGAUACAAAACACAACAUUAGCAAAACGAACAACUAGGACUUUGGUGUGGUAUGUUGGCACGGGUGAGCCUUUUCUGGGGUGAAGGAGACUCGUCUAUAGCAGGAUACGGCACCAAGAAAAGCCGAUACAGAAACACCAGAAAAAGGAAAAUGAAGAAAAAGAAAACCAGCACAAGGAAAAUACAGAAAAAAGAAUACGAUAGAAACGCAACAUCUUAAAAAGGAAAGAGUCAUCAUCCACAUUUUGGGCUCUCAAUAACAUCAAGAAAAUGACGAGUGUGUGUCUUCCCUGGUGAAAGAGGCUCACCCGGACACCCGGACCAAAGGACAUCACAAGAGGGGACGAAAAUAAAAACAUCAAGAAAAGAAAAUUAUAUAAAAGAAAAGAACAAAAAGAAAAGAAAACAUCCACGAAGAAAAAAAAGAAAACGGAAAAGAAAGGAAAGAAUAAAAUAAAUAAAUAAAUAAAUAAAUAAAUAA